UAGUCAUAUGCUUGUCUUAAAGAUUAAGCCAUGCAUGUCUAAGUGUAAGUGAUUGCACAGCGAAACUGCGAAUGGCUCAUUAAAUCAGUUAUAGUUUACUUGAUUGUGGCAUUACUAUUUGGAUAACUGUAGUAAUUCUAGAGCUAAUACAUGCGCAAAAUCCCGACUUCUGGAAGGGAUGCACUUAUUAGAUACUUAACCAACCGGGGCAACCCGAAUUGGUGAUUCAUAAUAAGCCAGCUAACCGUAUGGGCUUGACCCGACGGUAGAUCAAUCAA
rnacentral:rRNA from 1 species